AAGAAGUGUCUUCUGCUUCCCGCCAUGGUUCUGAGGCCUCCCCAGCCAUGUGGAACUGUGAUGAACACCAGUUAAUAAAAGAGGAGUGAGGAGCUGAAAAUAGGAAACUAUACCCUACCCCUGCCCCCGAGACCACGUGUGACAGAAAUGAUGUGGACACAGAGAAGAUUGGCAGACCCUCAAGAAGAGAAAUCGGUGUGGGGGGUCUGGGUAGAACAGAUGGUUUGCUCAAUCACACGGAUUAAGGAAAAUCAUCAUCUCCUUGCCAUUUGCACCAGACCUGGAUUCCUAGCGUCUCCAUCUGGAGUGCGGCUGGUGGGGGGCCUCCACCGCUGUGAAGGGCGGGUGGAGGUGGAACAGAAAGGCCAGUGGGGCACCGUGUGUGAUGACGGCUGGGACAUUAAGGACGUAGCUGUGGUGUGCCGGGAGCUGGGCUGUGGAGCUGCCAGCGGAACCCCCAGUGGUAUUUUGUAUGAGCCACCAGCAGAAAAAGAGCAAAAGG
rnacentral:sRNA from 1 species